rnacentral:rRNA from 1 species
AUUGCCCCAGUAACGGCGAGUGAAGCGGCAACAGCUCAAAUUUGAAAUCUGGCCCCUAGGGCCCGAGUUGUAAUUUGCAGAGGAUGCUUUUGGCGAGGUGCCUUCCGAGUUCCCUGGAACGGGACGCCAUAGAGGGUGAGAGCCCCGUCUGGUUGGACGCCGAGCCUCUGUAAAGCUCCUUCGACGAGUCGAGUAGUUUGGGAAUGCUGCUCUAAAUGGGAGGUAUAUGUCUUCUAAAGCUAAAUAUUGGCCAGAGACCGAUAGCGCACAAGUAGAGUGAUCGAAAGAUGAAAAGCACUUUGAAAAGAGAGUUAAAUAGUACGUGAAAUUGUUGAAAGGGAAGCGCUUAUGACCAGACUUGGGCCCGGUGAAUCAUCCAGCGUUCUCGCUGGUGCACUUUGCCGGUGCCCAGGCCAGCAUCAGUUUGCCCCGGGGGAUAAAGGCUUUGGGAAUGUGGCUCCCCAGGGAGUGUUAUAGCCCAUUGCACAAUACCCUGUGGCGGACUGAGGUUCGCGCAUCUUGCAAGGAUGCUGGCGUAAUGGUCAUCAGCGACCCGUCUUGAAACACGGACCAAGGAGUCGUCUUCGUAUGCGAGUGUUCGGGUGUCAAACCCCUACGCGUAAUGAAAGUGAACGCAGGUGAGAGCUUCGGCGCAUCAUCGACCGAUCCUGAUGUUCUCGGAUGGAUUUGAGUAAGAGCAUACGGGGCCGGACCCGAAAGAAGGUGAACUAUGCCUGUAUAGGGUGAAGCCAGAGGAAACUCUGGUGGAGGCUCGCAGCGGUUCUGACGUGCAAAUCGAUCGUCAAAUAUGGGCAUGGGG